rnacentral:lncRNA from 1 species
GGCCGCCCGCCUCGCUCCUAGGAGACCGGAGCCCCUCGCCGGAUUUCAGCCUGUGUCGUGAACUGUGUCAUAAGGGACAAAAUAUCUUUCCGAAAGGAGUAAUAAAGGGUGCGAACUGUCAUGCUUGAAUAUAAGUUUGAGGGAAACUAAUGGUAAUCAGCAACGUCCUCACUCAACCCAGAAAAGCUCCAAAACACCUUGUGCUUCUGGACCUACAGUCACAGGAUGGCUUGACUUCGUUACUGUUGAAAUUUGUUCUUGGUCGUGUGCAUGGUUCCUCAUUCCAUGGUAUCCGUAUAAUCUUUUACUUGAGGUGGUUUGGGUUUUUUUGUUUUUACUGAUUUGCAAUUAAUGAAACACUGUUCAAGUAUUUCUUCUCUUGAUUCUCUUAAGACGCCUAAGUUCUGGUUAAAUCUCGGCUGUGUUUGUAAGUCCAAAAUGUAUCGGAUCGAAGUGGAGUAGUUUGCAGUAUUAAGAUCUUAGAAUACUUCAGCAAUAAAAAAUGAUAAACCUCAACUUUAAUAAGUUAUCCUGACACUUGAUAAAAAUAAAUAUUUGGUAUUUUGUGGUCACUGAGAACUUUUUUUUGUAUGAAAAUUGUGAGAAAUAUAAAUCAGCAAUAGUAACACUUAGAUUUUUAUAAAAUAACAAAAACUUGCUCUUGGGUCAUUUCAUAUAAUUAGUGAUGGAAGACUUGGGAAACGAAAACAUUAAGAUUUCUGGAAGCCCUCCACGUCGGUUUCCAAAGCUUCGGUAGUGGCGGGCAUGGUAAUCAAACGUGCUCCGUCACGGCUCUGAAUCCAGACCAGCAUCGAGGGGCUGUGCGUGUUUGCUUUCCUCUGGUUUGCGCUGUCACAAAUUGAAACUCUCAGUGUAUUGGGGACAGAGAACAAAGCUAGCAUAUGGCACACAUUUUGAAUUUAACGACGUUAGUGUAACAAGUAAGGUCAGGACAUAUAUUUACAUAGAUCCCAAGCCCCCGGAGUGAGUACAGCUGCUCUAAAUCCCAAAUUACCAUUUACUCUCAGACACUUGAAGCAGAGGGAGAAGCCACACUGUAGUCUCCAUAUGCUUUUCAAGAACAAUACAUACAAUAUCAGUUUUCCUGCCUCUCUGUCUUGUGAUUUCUGGUAGAAUUUUUUGGAGUUUAUGGUGGUAAGAUGUCCACAGUGAGGCCAUUCUGCUUUAAGUCACUGCUUAAUAUUCCAUAAAUAUGUAUUAAAGUACUAUCAAGGGUCCAGAAUUAGAGUUUGCUACUUAUUUUGGCCCAUAGGACUUGGGCUUCUUUUCUGUUUUAUUAUUUUGUGUAAAUUGUAAUUCAAAGCCUUUCGGUGGGUGUAAUCCAAAGUUCAGUGGGGUGUUUCAAAAGGAAAAGUUUAUUUCAUUGGCAGGAGUGGGGAAGUGAGCUAUAUAAAAGUAGAAAUAUUGUUGAACCCCCUAAAUUCUUUCAAGGUAAUGAUGGAUUAAGCCUCCAGGUUUAUUAAUUUUUUUGCAAAGCUGUUCUUUCAGAUAAGAAAGUCAACUACUGUGACUGAGAAGUAAUCUGCUGAGUGCUUAAAUUGGUGCUCUAGCAGAAGAGAAGUCUACUCACCAGUCUCAUAACCCGCAUUCCAUACCGGCGGUAGGAAGGCGAUUCUUAUUUUUUAUUGAAACACAAGCAUUUUUAUAAAAUUCUAACUGACUUUGUACAUUGUAGAAAUUACAUAUGAAAGUUUGCCUUUUAUUCUUUCAUUUGGAAACUAUCAAAAGUCCCCAAAUAUGGAUACUUCCUAUUUUUGUUCUUAAAUUUGAUGGAGAAAGUAAAAUCAAAUCAAGUUGCAGUUAUUGAUUGUUGCCAUCUUUAUGGUGUCUUGAAGAAAUCUAUACAUUUUAAAGACAAAACGAAAACAUGUGAUUUUAGGUGAUGGAUUACUGUUCUUUGAAUUCACUGCCUGUAUACUGUGGUAUUUCUUACUCUGAACGUCCUGGUAGCUAUCACUUCAAAACAAGCCAGUUUCCCUCCGAGUGAUCAUUACUUACGGCUGUGGAAGGAUGGGUUAGUAAUUCCAUGAUACAUGGGAUCUUGGCGUUGUAAAUUCGGGAUCCCAGGACUUGAACCUUUAUGCUACAUUUUUGAAGAUUUUUUAAUACCGUUAAUGAAUAAAAGAUAUUUUUGAUCUAAAUAUAGGCUCUGCAUAUCUGUUGGAUUUUAAAAAUUGCCAGUGUUUGGUCUUGUUCACAUUUUUGUCUAGGCAAGGAACAUAAGAUUUCAAAGAAAAUUUUGAACCAAAAACAUUUGUAAUGCAGUUCUGGUUUUUCUAUUACUUUUUAUACUGUACCUUAAAAGCAUCAGGCUGAAAGAGUUUAUUUUGGUGGUCAAAAGAUAGGCUUCCACUCAUUUAACUAUUUUAAAUGUUAAGAUGUAAAAUAAUGAAAGACACAUAAAUUGCUUUAUUCAGUAAAGUUUUGUUUAAGAAUGUUUAUCUCAGCCAGUAGGCAAAUACUUGGUAUAAGACAGGUUGGCCUUUUCUUGCUGAAACACGUUAGCUAGUAAAGAUAUUCUUGAAGAUGUUUUUUUCUGAUUGUAAUUAAUUUUUGAGAAUGUAAAAAGCUCAUUAUUCCUUGUAAGUAUUCAGGAUGCCUGCUUUUUUAUGCAAUUGUGGAAAGAAUGUCAGAUGUUUUAAUAUAUUCUUUGUUAAUCUGAAAACUUGUUAUUGAAUCGUUUUCUUCAUUUGGGGGAGGGAGGAACACCACAGAAAGUGUUUUUAUCCAAGUAAGCAAUGGAGGUGACAAAUCGUGUGCAUUUUUUACAGGUAAAAUAUCUAAAGAGUAAUAGAAUAUUCACCUUUAAAACUAGUUGUGGUUAGUAUGCGUUUAUAAUCUUGUCAAAAUAUACAGCUAACAGUUUGGCAGUGAUGUUGUCUGCAUUUGUAGAGAGAUGGAUGUGGUUCCUGGUUUUCUGUUUGGGAAGAGAUCAUCAUGGCCUUCUCUUUAAAAAUAUGCCCCAGCACUUAAUCUCGGUGAUAGUCUGAUCCACACACAGCACCCAUUGGUGCUAAGAGUAGAAACUGAGACAAGAAUAAAAUGUGCCCUUUGGUGAAGAAAAGAGGUUGUAAUCAGGCCAGCCGGACGGUCGGAUGAGGGAGGGACAGGAAUGGACUGAUCCAAGUCGGCCUUUGUUCCCUCAAACUGUGUGUGUGUGUGCACGUGUGUGUGUGUGUGUGUGCGUGUAGGGAUGUGUGUGUGUACAGCCAAAAUCUGGAACUUAAGGAAGUAAAGUUAUUUUCAUUUUCUUACUGCAAAAAUAAUGUCAUUCAUAACAGGUUUCUUUAUAAAUUGCACUAAUUAAUAUUGGAAUGUUACGAGUCAGUUUAUCAAUUUCUGAUGUGUCUGAGGUUUUUUUGCAAUAAUUGUGAAAAGCAUUAUUGAUUUAAAUAAUGCUAGCACAUAUUCUUUAAUAAGUUCUUUAACACUGGCUUUUUCUUUUAAGUUUUACAAAUAGGUUUUUCUCUUGUGGCUUUAGCACUUUAAGGAGCUUGACGUUUGCAUAGUUUUUGGUGUGCCCACUCAGCGCUUCCCGGCUGUGUGCACUAGGGUGCCCCGUUGCCACGUGACUGGGGAGAAAACUCACUGUCCGUGUUUAGAUUCUGGAAGAGAAAAAAUGAGUCAAUGUCAGGUUUUUAAAAAAUUCCAUUUAGAGACAGUCGUUUGGGAACCAAAGUAUUUUACUGUAAAUCUUUAAAACAGUUGAAUUCAGUGCUCUUUAGUCACUUAUUAGUGCUGUCCAGAUUUUCCACAAAGUUAUACUUGGUUAAUACUAAUUCUCAAAAGGUGAUAAUUUCUUAUCGACAUUAAUCCAAGGCAGUUUCAAAAUUUUCAUUGAAUGAAUGCUUAUUGCUAAAAGAAAAACAGACGUGGCUGCUUUAUAACUGUGUGUAUUUUGUCAUACGCCUCAGCAGAGAAAUCAUUGUUCAAUUUUAUUUAGGAAUAAGCUUUUUUGGACUGAAAACUCAUAGUAAAAUAGGACUUCUACCUAAUGUUAAGCCAUUGCUUAUUUGUAUCCAAUUAUCUGUUUACUUUGCUUAAAUCUUGACUAAGGUUGAUUGGAGUCAAUAAAUUUGUACUGUAUUUUGUUUUG